CGGGACGGGUGAGUAAUGUCUGGGAAACUGCCUGAUGGAGGGGGAUAACUACUGGAAACGGUAGCUAAUACCGCAUAACGUCGCAAGACCAAAGAGGGGGGACCUUAGGGCCUCUUGCCAUCGGAUGUGCCCAGAUGGGAUUAGCUAGUAGGUGGGGUAACGGCUCACCUAGGCGACGAUCCCUAGCUGGUCUGAGAGGAUGACCAGCCACACUGGAACUGAGACACGGUCCAG
rnacentral:rRNA from 1 species